CUCAUAGCAACGAUAAUUUCCUGUUAUUAUUAUUAUAUACAUACGAGUGUUUUACUGGAAAUGUACACCACCUGUAAAAUUCAUACGAAUUUACAUCUUGAACCGCAGUGGCGUAUUUUCCAUAUCCUUACUAGUGACGAUAUCAAUGAAGUCAUUUCGUGGCAUUACAUUGCGCAGCUGCCAAACUUUGCAAAUUAAGCGCCGAUUGAAAGAUGGCGCUCGCGACUGAUAGGGAAGUUAAAUUCACUGAAGUCGGCAUGAAAUCGUUCACUAAGGAGUACGAAAAUGCCAAAAAGUACCAAAAACGCCAAAUCAAGAAAGAAAAUUCAUGUGGCUGAAAGGUACUCAAGGAGUAUUUUCAAGUAACCAAAGGAGAGAUAUUCAAGAUAUUCCAGUCGCCGAGCUGUAAUUCACAUACGGUUUCUGUUUUCGAUUCGCUUCUGUAGUUUUUGGCUACAUAUUGAAAAGAAAAUACCAAAAACAAUAUAUUGCUCGUGGAGUAUUGUUUUGGCUACUUGAAUAUAAAAUUCAUCCAUGGAUAUCUUCUUGCCUCUAUAUACAGUACGCUUUUCCACUGUACUAAGCUACAUGUAUACCUGUAUAGCAUCGACAUAAUCCUUGGAGCUGACAAUAGUAAAAUCAUUACACAUACAAAACGCAAAAUUGCAAAAUUGCUGAACCGAUAUUCUCUCAGACUGCUGCAACAUCAAAUGGAAAAAGAAAUUACUAAGCAAUGUUAAUUAAAUAAUUUCCUUUGUUAUUUACAGACUAAUUCAGAAGUCGAAUGGAAAUUUGCACGUGCCGUUGUUGAAAACCAGUACAGAAAUCUACAUUCCAUCGUUGUGCCGUUUAACCUGCUCUCUGUUCCAAUUGAUCUAUUGUACUGCGAAUUUAACGGUGACUCUCGACAAGAGGACGCAAUUAAUCGACUGAAAGAAUACAAGACGUAUUACCGCAAACGCUUGUUUCCGAUAAUCACUGAACGCUACAGAAAGAAAUAUGGUGGAUCAUUUCCUUUGUCGAUUGAAGAAAAGAUUGACCUGAUAAUGGAAAAGUUACAAAUCUCACCUGGCUGUGAUGAAAUUGCCUUAAAGAGACAAGUGAGUAAUAUUUUGUUUUUCUUUUGAACCCUCAAAACAAAUAAAUUAUCUAGCUGUAAAACAAAAAUGAUACGUGUUAUAAGCUGAAACACUUCAUCUCGAAUUUGGAUUUAGUCUCGCUCUCGCGCAUUCGGCUCUGGAAACAUUCCUUGCGUUAUUUGCAUUUUCAGUCUAAAGGAAUUGAAAUAACUCCAGUAUUUGGACAUUAAUUGUGCCUACAGAUUAUCAUCUCCACCACCUGGAACCAACAAUUGUUCCGUUAUUAGAACCCGUAGAGUGUACCUGAUCCAUGCUCGGGUCUGCUUUAUCUUAACAGUCGAGUGUUGUUCCGAAGAUUUUAUUAUGUAAUGGCUUUUCCGAAGUAUUAUGAUGUAAUCGUAGCGCGCGCAUGCGCAGUGGGCGUAGUGGGCUCGAAGUUUUUCUUGUCUUUAUCCGCCAUGUUUGUUUUGACCUUUUG
rnacentral:lncRNA from 1 species